CAGCAGGGUUCAGUUUACAGUACUACAGGGUUAGGGCUGCAAACUGGAGUCGUCUAAUUCCAGUUUCAAAGCUGAACAUCUAAUGGUGGAUUAUCAUUAAUGACAGACAGCAUCGUGUCAAAAGAUGCAGAAAUAGGGAUGCAGAAGCCUUGUGCCCCAGGGCACCAGUCAGUCAGCUGAACUGGGAUUGGAGUCCAGCUUCUGAUGACUGUCUGGGGUGGGUACCAAUAGAAAGAAAUGGGAGGAACAAAGGAGCCAACAUCAGGCUCAUUUGCCAGGGAGGCCUGCUGAGCCCUGACCAUGCUGGCAAAGACCCACUCGUGAAUCUGGCCUGCUGCACACUUCAGCUGCAGAUGACAAGAGGAGCAGCAGACCAGCUGGGUGAGAGGCAUUGUCCGAGAGCCUGCAAGUCAGACAGCGUGGAGCCUGAGGGCCCGGCCCUUCCCAUUGACUUGAGGCUAUGUGCUUGGCACCCCUUUCUCCAUAUGCUCAGAUACUAACUUAGGGAGAGAAAGAGUAACUAUUGAUACCAUGUGGCUUAUUCUUACUGGUUUUGGAAGUUUUGUUGUGGUUUUUUUUUUUUUUUUUUUUUUUUUUUUUAAAGAUGGUAAAUAGAAUGAGCACCUUAAUGUCAAAGAUCAUGUUUUUUUUUUCACCUUUACAUCUCUCCUAGUACCUGACCAUUACUCUGCAAGUCAAAGAAGCCCAAACAAACAAACAAACAAAAACGUAUAAAUGAGAGAUUAGUAAAUAGGUGUUUUUAGAUUUCAGUGGUUCACAAUAUCCUAGAAAGUAGCUCAGAGUAUCUUCAAGCAUAACCCUGUUUCUGCACUUUCCUAACUCAGCGCUCCAGAGACAUAAAUCACCUUGAGUAAGAAGAAACCACGUCUCUAAGACUGGGCUUCCAAACUUUAAGAAUUUUUCUGUUUUCCAGUCGUUUUUAUGUUAGAAGGAGGCAGUCACAUCUAGUUUGUGAAACCCUGGCUACAAGAGAUUUUCAGUCAACACACAAAGGUUCACAGAGGUUGUCCCUUCCAAGAAUAAUCUCCCAGGGCCCCAUUCAACAAUAAAUAUUGCCCAACUUCCCUGUGCAGAAGUCAGCUUAAGGCCGCAGACACUAAGGAAAUUGCCUCUACGUCCAGCCGGCUGACUUGGCAGGCCGAGAGCCCGCGUGCAGAG